rnacentral:rRNA from 1 species
AUGCACCUACACGGGUACAGCUUCUACGUGGUCGGGAGAGGGUCUGGUAACUUUGACAGGCACAAGGACCCGGCCACGUACAACUUGGACGACCCACCGUACCAGAACACGGUCUCCGUGCCCAAGGCUGGUUGGGCCGCAAUCCGCUUCCGGGCGGCGAAUCCAGGUGUAUGGUUCAUGCAUUGCCAUUUUGAGCGACACAUGGUGUGGGGGAUGGAGACCGUGUUUAUUGUGAAGAACGGCAAGGCUGAAGAAGCUCAUAUCAUGCCGCCACCUCCAAAUAUGCCAAAGUGCUGA